rnacentral:rRNA from 1 species
GAGUUUGAUCCUGGCUCAGGAUGAACGCUGGCGGCGUGCUUAACACAUGCAAGUCGAACGGGAAUGCCACGCUGAUGCGAUUUCGGUCAGAUCAUGUGGCAUUCGAGUGGCGGACGGGUGAGUAACGCGUGGGUAACCUGCCUUACACAGGGGGAUAACACCUGGAAACAGGUGCUAAUACCGCAUAAGCGCACAGGGCCGCAUGGCCCGGUGUGAAAAACUCCGGUGGUGUAAGAUGGACCCGCGUCUGAUUAGCUUGUUGGCGGGGUAGGGGCCCACCAAGGCGACGAUCAGUAGCCGGCCUGAGAGGGUGGACGGCCACAUUGGGACUGAGACACGGCCCAAACUCCUACGGGAGGCAGCAGUGGGGGAUAUUGGACAAUGGGGGAAACCCUGAUCCAGCGACGCCGCGUGAGUGAAGAAGUAUUUCGGUAUGUAAAGCUCUGUCAGCAGGGAAGAAAGAAAUGACGGUACCUGACCAAGAAGCCCCGGCU